rnacentral:rRNA from 1 species
ACGCUCGACACCUACGGGAGCAGCAGUGGGGAAUAUUGGGCAAUGGAGGAAACUCUGACCCAGCAACGCCGCGUGAAUGAUGAAGGUCUUUGGAUUGUAAAGUUCUUUUCUAAGGGACGAAGAAAGUGACGGUACCUUAGGAAUAAGCCUCGGCUAACUACGUGUCAGCAGCCGCGGUAAUCUGAGCGGGCUGGCAAGGC